rnacentral:lncRNA from 1 species
CAACAUUGAGUCGAUGUAGAGACAAGUUAACUUGCCUAGUAAAGUAAAUAGAUUUUAGUUGCUGUCAGUGUUGGCGAAACAUAAAAGGAAAAAACUUCUCGAUUCUUCUGGAAUUGAAGUAGGCCUUCUUUUUGUUGUUGCUUUUUUUGGUUUCCCAUUCGGUGUUUGGAAUUUGUAUUAGAGUCCCGACUAAUUUGAAUUGCGUAUUGCAGGGCUCAUUUUAGGGGUGACGCUCCCAAAAGGAUUUUCUCCAUAUCCAGAAUUUAUAUCCGUGACCUCUGAUUAAGGGUGAAGUAAUCCCACCACAACCCACGUUGGUAAGUAAAACUUUUUUGGUCAUAUACAGAUUCCAAAUAUUUCUCUUUUUUUUUUGAAACUUAUGAAGUUGGUACAUGUCCACAUAUAGCAUAUAAUCAACAUGAGUUAAUUUUUAAUAACACUACUGAUUAUUGAGUAAUAUGUGUAUGUGAGAAGGGACGAGGCUACAGCGAGGAAACUAGAUUUACUUAAAUCUAGCGCGUAGUAACGUGGAGGAUGAAACUAACAGUAGUAUAGACCAGUGGCGGAGCCAGAUUUUUGGUUAAGGGUGUUUAUAUUUUUUCUUGGGCAAAGAACUGUUUAAAAAACAAAGAUAGUACAAAGUAUAGACAUUCGAGGGGAAAUUAGAGUUGUUCUUGAAAAGAUAGUCUAACGCCAUCUACCAAAAAAUUAUACUCAAUAAACAAGGUGAAAAUGAUAUGUAAUCUCUAGCUUGACAAGUUGAAAACUCUAAUACAGUGACAAAAGGAAUUCAAAAAUUAUUUUGGAUCACUUAUAUGCAAAUUUUAAGCAUGAAUCUUUAAUAUUCUUUCAGUUCUCUUAUACGAUUCUGAAGAUGUUAUUCAUAUGCUUAAAAAAUGAAUUAUUUUUUUUUUUUUUUUAAUCCUAUCAUUGAUGAUUGCAGGUUGCUGCUAAGAAAGCUAAAAGGGCCUCCCGUUGACCAGAACUUCAGG